GGGAGGCAGCAGUGGGGAAUCUUCCGCAAUGGACGAAAGUCUGGCGGAGCAACGCCGCGUGAGUGAUGAAGGAUUUCGGUCUGUAAAGCUCUGUUGUUUAUGACGAAGUGCAGUGUGUGAACAAUGCAUUGCAAUGACGGUAGUAAACGAGGAAGCCACGGCUAACUACGUGCCAGCAGCCGCGGUAAUACGUAGGUGGCGAGCGUUGUCCGGAAUUAUUGGGCGUAAAGAGCAUGUAGGCGGCUUAAUAAGUCGAGCGUGAAAAUGCGGGGCUCAACCCCGUAUGGCGCUGGAAACUGUUAGGCUUGAGUGCAGGAGAGGAAAGGGGAAUUCCCAGUGUAGCGGUGAAAUGCGUAGAUAUUGGGAGGA
rnacentral:rRNA from 1 species